AGUAUGUGCUAUAUAGUGGCUCACAGUGUUGUGGGUUUCUGAUUGCGGUAGGGGACCGGAUAUAAGUGAUCAGAAACCCACAACACUGUGAGCCACUAUAUAGCACAUACU
rnacentral:pre_miRNA from 1 species